ensembl:lncRNA
CAGGGAAUGCUUUUGCUGUUGGUUGGAGAGUAUUUGGAUUUCUAGGCUCGUGAGCCACUGCAUAUGGUUCUUCAUGAAUUGUUGAGUCUGAACAUAGUUUCAUGGAACAGGCUCUUCUGGAGCACAUGCUGGCCUCACCAUCACUACAUAGCCAAAAUUGGCUUGAAUGUUGCUCAUCAUGCUGCCACUUUCAAAAAUUUUAUAAUUAGUAUGGGCUCAUCUUUAUGAGAUUCUACUGAUUUUCCCCUUUAAAAAAUGUGUGUAAGCUGACUUUGGAGGGCUCUGAUCAGGCAGGGCACAGCUAAGUUGAUUGUGUCUAGAUGUGUUGUAUGCAUGUCUGUGUUAGGCCAACUGAUUUUUCAAACUUCAACCUCAAUACAGCAAUAGUAAGAUUUUGGAACUCACAAGUAGUAGAGACUUGCUACAGUGCAGAACAUGUGGCCUUUAGCAAAGGGAUCUAUAGAAUGAUUUCAUGCUAUUUUUUGACUAUCUUAGAAUACCUCUACAGUGCCAAUUAAAAACAACUCUGUUAUGCAAUCUGCUACCUUGCUCUUGCCAUGCCAACAUUAAGAUGCACAAGCAAUCAAUUUCUGUUGUUUGUAAGGAGACAACUAAAGCAUAUUUUGAGAGUAGAAGGGCCUAUGUUGCCAGGAUACUGCUUCAUCUUUCACAUCUCUUGUUUAUAGUGUCCUGGCUGACAGGUAUUUCCUUGGUCAUGUUAAACAUGUCAGCCCCCUGUCCAUGGAUCAUGGGCUUUGGUGAGAAGACUCAGGCCUAAUAAGGACAUGGGAUGAAUGGUGUCCUCUUCUUUGCAGCCCCACAGAUUAUGGUUUCACACCCUGGGGCACUACAAAAAAACAAUAUUUUGUCAUAACUCCCAACUUAGUAAGGAGCUAACGUCCUUUACCAUCCAUUAAUCUUAUUUUAAAAAUAACAAACUGAAUACUUUGAGUAUAGACAUGAGUUACUAAAAACUUAUAAAAGCUGGAUUCCAAGUGAAAAACAAAACACUCUCCAUCUACUAGCUAGUGUGUACCAGAGCACAUACAUGAGGACAGACAAAGCUCUGGAGUUCAUUGACAUUCUUAGGAUUUCCGGUUUGAUGUUUAACAUGGAAAGGGUCUGUAUUAAAGUUUCAGUGUCAAAGUUCCCACAGAGUGUCCAGUGUUUGAAUGUUGUUCCCACCCAGUGUCACUUUUUGAGGAAAGUUAAGGGCCUUGGGCUGUGGGCCUAGCAGAAAAAAACAAUGGAUCAAUGGACAAUAUUGGAAACAAACAUUUGAGUGUAAGCAGCCCUCUACUGCCCCACUGAGGAAGAAUCUUGGAAACAGAAAGCCAGAAGAACCAAUGGGCUCUGCCCAGCCACCAUUGGUCCAUUUUUGCUCCGACUUCACAAAGAAGCAUCGUAGGACGUCAUAGAUACCUGUUCACUUACAGAUCUGCCUGAGACUGUCUCCUGUACCUACAGUACUGAAGUUGGCAUUUGGUUGAAAAGCUACUAGAGUCCGAUGCUGAAAGAUUCUACUGGAACUUCCAGGAGCUGUUAAACAUUGACAUAGUGCAUUUAUCUCCACUUUGGAAAGUCAGCAAUGUGAAAUCACUUGACCAUCCUAACUUUAUCAAGCUGUUUCACAUGGUCAGACAAGAGAAAACACCUACCAGUUGAAGGAUAAUGCCUCGGAUGGAGAGAUACUAGAACAAGUCAUUGAAGGUGGGGGUCUUUAAAGGAAAGUCUCUAUGCAAGGUUCAAAGGAUGUUUGCCGUGAUAGUACAUGCUGUGCAGUACUGCCAUGACCAUCACAUUUUCCACAGAGACAUAAAGACCAGCAAGCUGUUAAUCGACAGCAGUAGGAACGCCAAGCUGUGUGAUUUUGACCUGGG